CCCUUAGAUGUUCGGAGCUGCACGCGCGCUACACUGAAGGAAGCAGCGUGUUAGAGCACCUGGCUUGAAAGAGCUGGGUAAUCCGGUGAAUGUCCUUCGUGAUUGGGAUAGGGACUUGUAAUUAUUUCCCUUGAACGAGGAAUUCCCAGUAAGCGCGAGUCAUCAGCUCGCGUUGAUUACGUCCCUGCCCUUUGUACACACCGCCCGUCGCUACUACCGAUUGAAUGGUUUAGUGAGAUCCUCGGAUCGGCGGCGUCGGGACGGCCCUGCCGUACCGUUCUGCAUUGUCCGAGAAGACGAUCAAACUUGAUCAUUUAGAGGAAGUAAAAGUCGUAACA
rnacentral:rRNA from 1 species